UACAGAGGGGGCAAGCGUUGUUCGGAAUUACUGGGCGUAAAGGGCGCGUAGGCGGCCUACUAAGUCAGACGUGAAAUCCCACGGCUCAACCGUGGAACUGCGUCUGAGACUGGAAGGCUUGAAUUCGGGAGAGGGAUGCGGAAUUCCAGGUGUAGCGGUGAAAUGCGUAGAUAUCUGGAGGAACACCGGUGGCGAAGGCGGCAUCCUGGACCGACAUUGACGCUGAGGCGCGAAAGCCAGGGGAGCAAACGGG
rnacentral:rRNA from 1 species